GACGAACGCUGGCGGCGGGCUUAACACAUGCAAGUCGAACGGAAAGGCCCUGCUUUUGUGGGCUGCUCGAGUGGCGAACGGGUGAGUAACAAGUGAGUAACCUGCCCUUGACUUUGGGAUAACUUCAGGAAACUGGGGCUAAUACCGGAUCGGAGCUCCUGCUGCAUGGUGGGGGUUGGAAAGUUUCGGCGGUUGGGGAUGGACUCGCGGCUUAUCAGCUUGUUGGUGGGGUAGUGGCCUACCAAGGCGUUGACGGGUAGCCGGCCUGAGAGGGUGACCGGCGACAUUGGGACUGCGAGACGGACCAGACUCCUACGGGAGGCAGCAGUGGGGAAUAUUGCACAAUGGGCGGGAGCCUGAUGCAGAAACGCCGCGGGCGGGAUGACGGCCUUCGGGUUGUAAACCGCGUUAGCCUGUGACGAAGCGUGAGUGACGGUAAUGGGUAAAGAAGCACCGGCUAACUACGUG
rnacentral:rRNA from 1 species